GAGAAGGCUAGAUUGGCCGGAUGUUGGUUACCGGUUUAAGCGUUCGAGGUGUUGAGAAACGGAGAAAACGUUUUGAGCUGAGACGUGAAUACGAGACGCUAAGGCGUCGAAGUAGUGUAUGUCAGACUUCCAAGAAAAGCUCGCACUGUCAUAGGUAAAAAAUGCCUGUACCAUAACCGACACAGGUGGGUAGGUAGAGUAUACUAAGGGGCGCGAGAUAACUCUCUCUAAGGAACUCGGCAAAAUGACUCCGUAACUUCGGGAGAAGGAGUGCCUUAUUUAUAAGGUUGCAAUAACAAGAUCCAAGCAACUGUUUACCAAAAACACAGGUCUCCGCUAAGUCGUAAGACGAUGUAUGGGGGCUGACGCCUGCCCAGUGCCAGAAGGUUAAAGAAGUUGGUUAGCAUUAGCGAAGCUGAUAACUGAAGCCCUGGUGAACGGCGGCCGUAACUAUAACGGUCCUAAGGUAGCGAAAUUCCUUGUCGGGUAAGUUCCGACCCGCACGAAAGGCGUAAUGAUUUGGAUACUGUCUCGGAGAGAGGCUCGGUGAAAUAGACUUGUCUGUGAAGAUGCGGACUACCUGCACCUGGACAGAAAGACCCUAUGAAGCUUUACUGUAACUUGAAAUUGAAAUUGGACUUUAGUCGCGCAGCAUAGGUGGGAAGCGUUGAGCAUAUUCUUGCGGGAAUAUAGGAGCUAUCAGUGAGAUACCACUCUUCUAAUGUUAGAUUUCUAACCUUGAACCAUUAUCUGGUCAAGGAACAGUUUCAGGCGGGCAGUUUGACUGGGGCGGUCGCCUCCCAAAUGGUAACGGAGGCGUACAAAGGUUUCCUCUGAACGGAUAGAAAUCGUAUCUAGAGUAUAAAGGCAUAAGGAAGCUUGACUGUGAGACCUACAAGUCGAGCAGGGACGAAAGUCGGUCUUAGUGAUCUGACGGUACUGAGUGGAAAGGCCGUCA
rnacentral:rRNA from 1 species